GGCUCGGUAGCUCAGUUGGUAGAGCAACGGAUUGAAGCUCCGUGUGUCGGCGGUUCGAUUCCGUCCCGCGCCACUA
rnacentral:tRNA from 3 species